UGACUGUUAUGCUGAGCGGGCUGUAUGGUUGGCUGUGGGUAGGGAGAAGAGACCUCCCUGUGAGGUACCAAGGAAGGGGUGCACAGACACCAGGCUGCUCAGUCCCAACAGAAGACCCAGAGGAUGGCACAGGCCUACUCAUCCUGAAAGAGCAGGCUCCGUGAGGUGAAGGCACAUGACCCCAUUGCAUGAACUUUUGGACGUGAGCAAGUGGCUACUCACCGCAGAUAGGUCACCACUGCCUGAUUGGAGCAAGGAUUCCAAGGAUGGGCUUAUGGGGUUUACUUCCAGGAAUGUGAUGACACCCCUAAACGGCCACGUCACUGAAGAGUCUCACCCCAGCAUGAAGCAUGAUAGAAACACCAGAUUCGUGGAUACAGGAGCCCGUGCUUGUGGUGUGCCAGCCACUGGAACAGCCCUUUGUGAAUGGCCUCUCAUCCCAUUCCCCAGACAGCAGAGACUCUGAGCUUAAUGAGCCGCCAAUGUUCCAGAAGCAUAGGUGUUUAAAACUCCUAUAGAGUGCAGAGUGAAGAUUUGAACCCAGGACCACUGAGCUCCAGCGUCCAAGACCUUGUGUAUGGAUCAAUAUGCCUGCCUAACAGGGACUCACA